CGGAAACGUUGUAAAGCCCUUUUAUAGACGAGGAAUAAGCCUGGGAGGGAAUGCCCGGGUGAUGACGGUAGUCUGUGAAUAAGCCCCGGCUAAUUACGUGC
rnacentral:rRNA from 1 species